GAUGAACGCUGGCGGCGUGCUUAACACAUGCAAGUCGAACGGAGAUGCUAUGUGAGCGGAAGAUGCUUGCAUCCAACAAUCUUAUAGCAUCUUAGUGGCGGACGGGUGAGUAACGCGUGGGUAACCUGCCUUAUACCGGGGGAUAACACUUAGAAAUAGGUGCUAAUACCGCAUAAGCGCACGAUGCCGCAUGGCAAAGUGUGAAAAACUCCGGUGGUAUAAGAUGGACCCGCGUCUGAUUAGCUUGUUGGCGGGGUAACGGCCCACCAAGGCGACGAUCAGUAGCCGGCCUGAGAGGGUGAACGGCCACAUUGGGGACUGAGACACGGCCCAAACUCCUACGGGGAGGCAGCAGUGGGGAAUAUUGCACAAUGGGGGGAAACCCUGAUGCAGCGACGCCGCGUGAGUGAAGAAGUAUUUCGGUAUGUAAAGCUCUAUCAGCAGGGAAGAAGAAAUGACGGUACCUGACUAAGAGCCCCGGCUAAUACGUGCCAG
rnacentral:rRNA from 1 species